GUUAUCUGUGGCUGAACGUUGGCAAGCAAUUGGCAUGUCAAAUGCCGGUAGGAGUACCAGGAGCAUAGGAGCAGCAGAUUGAUUUGUCCUAUAUUCGAUGAAAUUUUGCCUUGCCUUCCUAUGAAAACCAGAAAGAGGCUUCAUUUUGGCGUUCGUCACUAAGAUAAACCAUUUGACAAAAUUGUAUCAGAAGCAAACAGGACGGAUUGAUGGUACAAAGUUUCAACUGAACUAGAUAGAAAAUCACAUUUUCAUCUUCUUCCGUGAGUAAAGCCGAUGUGACCGAUUUUUAAGUUUUAUAUUUAACUACCAGGCCAAAUUUUACCAAUCCAUUCGUAUUAGAAUUUAUACACCGAAGGAUUGUUUUUACAAAAGAUGCCUAUGGGUAGUGAAUAAGAUUAGUAAGGUGACCGUCAAAAGCUUUCUUUGGUUCUGGUUUAAGCCUGGUAUCUUUAAAGGGGCAUUAGCUGUCAAAUUCGUUUUCAUUAAUUUUUCAUAUUUGAUUUAUAACAUACAUAUAUCCAAAUUACAAAAAGUCUAAAAGUCCAAAAG